UUGGCUAUGGCAUCUUGGAACAGGAACUACAGCUAGACUGAGCCUUACUCAAGGAUGUGGACUCAGCCUUCCCCGCUCUGCCUGCUUCCUGGUGAGCUGGCCACAAUUGUGACAUCACAUCCAUGGCUCUAUGACUUCAUAAAGCAUAAACUCAUUGAGUCUUUUGAAAUCUUCAAAACACAAAAAGUGGACAGAGAUGUCAAGAGUUGGAUCUGAAGAAAUUUUUGGAUAUUAAACCAAUCCAUAAUAGGUAUCCUCAGUGGGGCACACUGAUUCAUAAGGCAAGUGACAUUUUCUCUUAGAAUCUCCAUUUGAGGCCAUUUCUUCAGUUUGGAAGGCAGGAUGAGAGAAGAAAUUCUGCCUUAAUCCCAGACCAAACUUAAACUGUCCUUGUUCUAACUGCUAAAGGAAUGAAAUGUUAAUAUCUUCUAAGGUCAAACUCGGGUAUAUACAGUCAAAGAACUUGAGCUAGAGAAAUGCAGAGCCAGUUAACUGUAUGUUUUGUUAUUCACUUGACUUUAAUGAUUAAGACAUUAUGAAAAUGAACAUAUGGCGACUAACAACAAUAAAUUUGGAUUCAGCAAAAGGACACAAGUAUAUUUCAUUAGUAAUAGAUUUUAAUCCUUAGGACACCAUUGCUAAACAGGUACUGCCUGUAUUUUCCUUGUUUUAUGGGCAAGGAAAGCAGUCCUUGAGAUGUAAAAGUGCCUGGGACCAUCACCCUCUUUAUUUGCUCCCAUGCUUCCUGAGAGGGUAAUCUACAUCCACCAAGUCAUUCCAAACCUACUACAUUCUGAGCCUUCUUCUCCCUCCCAACUUAUUGCAAUCUGUCUUUCACUUGAACCGCUCCAAAAAAGCUUCAUUAAGAUCAUAUACAACCUUGAUUAGCAACCCAAAGAGUAUGGUCUUCAGUCUUACCGAAAAAUUCUCAUCUCUGGCCAUGUCUAUUUCUUUCUGAAAUUAUCUUCCCUUGGUUUUGCUAUGUUACACCCUUCUGAUUUUCUGUUUGCUCUUAGCACCCUCACUUUCUCUCUAUUCACCUCACUCUUCCCUAGAGCUUUAUCUUCUGUUCAGUAUGCUUCUCUGCAGACUUUCCAUCACGUUCUUCAUCAAAACAAUGAACAAUUUUAUACAACAUGACUCCCAAAUGUGUACUUUCAUCUGAUACCACUCUUCAAGGUUCCAGACCUGUAUCCCGCUAUCUAUUAGAAAACCUUGUCUAGGGGUCCCCAGCCAUCUCAAACUCAACAGUCCCAAAUAUCCUUAUUGUCUUCUCCCCAUUCCAAACUUGUUAGUUUGCUGUAUUUCCUACUUCAGGGAAUGGCACAAUCAUCCACCCCUUAUGUUAGAGUAUUCCCUUUCCUCAUUUAUCCUCCACCAUCCCCAUCAUUGUCCACCUUCUGUAGGUUCUAGUUUGUUAAAUGAUCUUUCUCAAAUUUGUCCUCACCCCUGCAUUCCAUGUCUCACAUGUCUCACUCAGAUUAUUCUGUCAGCCAUAAAAUAACUGGCAUCUGCCUCAGCCUGAUCCCUUUCUAUCCUUCUCUAUAGAAAAAUAUUAUUUUUAAAUAAGUUUGUUAAAUUAUAAAAUACAUGCUUCUUGCAGAUAAUCUGGAACAGAAACUGGAAAACAUAUACAGAAAAUGUAAAAUGUAAAAUGAUUUGCAAUCCAAGACAGCCCAGACCAAAUCUUUGUGUACCUCUUUAGGCUUUGUAUCAUUCAUAUAUUAAUGAUACAGAGAAAUGCUAAAAUUUUUUGUAAAUAUAUUGCAUAACAUAGUUAUGCAGUAUAUUUAGUUAGAAAACCAAGACCACAUUGUAUAUACUUGUAGAAAGUGCGAGAUAUUUUUCUUUUCCAUUACUAGGUUUAUGGUUGAGGCCCCUAUAAAAAAAGGCAAAUUAAUAAAAGUAUACAAAUUAUUUAAUGUAAGUUUUUAUGGGACAUGGGAGCCUUUCAGAAAUGAAGACUCAAAGCAAGAGAUAAACGUGUGUAUUUUUAUGCUUAGAUUUGAUGAAGAGUGGAUAGUCAUGGAAAAGUAUGACUGGACAAAGGG
rnacentral:lncRNA from 10 species